rnacentral:misc_RNA from 1 species
GAUGAAGAACGUAGCGAAAUGCGAUAAGUAAUGUGAAUUGCAGAAUUCAGUGAAUCAUCGAAUCUUUGAACGCACAUUGCGCCCGCCAGUAUUCUGGCGGGCAUGCCUGUCCGAGCGUCAUUUCAACCAUCAAGCCCCGGGCUUGUGUUGGGGACCUGCGUCCGACGCAGGCCCUGAAAACCAGUGGCGGGCUCGCUGUCCACACCGAGCGUAGUAACUAACCUCGCUAUGGGGUGGCGCGGGCGCCUGCCGUAAAACCCCCAAUUUCACAAGGUUGACCUCGGAUCAGGUAGGAAUACCCGCUGAACUUAAGCAUAUCAAUAAGCGGAGGA